UUUUGUUAUUAAUACAUAUAUAUAAGCAUAGAUCUGUAUAAAAUAAAAGAGAUAAGAGGGGAGGGAUUUACCUGCUUGCAGCCGAUUAGGUCCUUGUUUAUUUCGUUGUGAUCAGAGUUCGAGUGAGGAUGGUGACGCGAGGACGGACGGAGCCUACGAGCGGCGCAAACGCUGGGGUUAAAACCUUAGAAGAGAGUUGAAGCUUUUUUUAUUUUUUUAUUUUAUUCUGGUGGAUACAAAUGAGUUUUUUUAAGCAGAAACUUGGUUUAAAUAAUAACGCAAUACGACGUCGUUUUGAGGUAAGGGCACCAGUGCUAAAACGGUGCCAUUUGGUCCCUUGCCCCGCGCGGUGACCCGACCGAAUGGAAGGAUCCGUGCGUUUCAUAUCAUUGGUUUAUUUGCGCGAUAAGUCCCUAUGUGUUUGG
rnacentral:lncRNA from 1 species